UUACGGCCAUAUUAUGUUGAAACACUGGUCCUAGUACGAUCACCGGAGUUAACCAACGUUGAGCCUGGUCAGUACCUGGAUGGGUAACCGCUUGGGAAUGCCAGGUGCUGAAA